rnacentral:rRNA from 1 species
CGAACGCUGGCGGCGUGCUUAACACAUGCAAGUCGAACGAUGAAGAAAAGAAUUGAAGCUUCGGCAGACAUUCAUUUCGGAUUAGUGGCAGACGGGUGAGUAACGCGUGAGCAACCUACCUCUUACAAAGGGAUAGCCUCGGGAAACCGGGAUUAAUACCAUAUAACAUUGCGACGAAGCAUUUCGAUGCAAUCAAAGCUACGGCGGUAAGAGAUGGGCUCGCGUCCCAUUAACCAGAUGGUGAGGUAACGGCUCACCAUAGUAACGAUGGGUAACCGGCCUGAGAGGGUGAACGGUCACACUGGAACUGAGACACGGUCCAGACUCCUACGGGAGGCAGCAGUGGGGAAUAUUGCACAAUGGAGGGAACUCUGAUGCAGCGACGCCGCGUGAGUGAUGAAGGAAUUCGUUUCGUAAAACUCUGUUCUAUGGGAAGAAAAGGACUGUACCAUAGGAGAAAGCUCCGGCUAAAUACGUG